CCUUCUGCCUUCUUUCCAUCCGAAUUUCUCUUGAUUAAGGUCGUCGUCGCGACGGUCGCGCCACACAAUUUACUUAAAUAUAUAAAAAAUGGGUCAGAAUCAUCUGAUGCUUAGCACAUUUGAUGCCCAACUUGUAACCCAAAUUUGGUGUAUCAAAACAUCUAUAUACAGACCCCACAAUAAGAUCAAAUAGCCGGCAAUAACUGAGUUUUAUAUGGAGCACCACGUGGUGCUAUGUGAGACACCUAGAGGCACUUUGAAAUUUUCACAUUUCUAAGGUAAUCUUUGCAUCUAACGGAAAUAACUAAAGAUUGAGAUGUAUUCUAGCAGAAUCUUCGAUCCAUUAAAAGGCAAAAUAAAAGGACAAUUGUCGAGCCAGGAUUGAGUCGAUUUAAAGGAAAUGCAAAAGGAUAAAAUCUUUAAAGAGGUUUACCAGGCAAUUUAGUUUGGACCAAUCAAAAGGCAUUGCAAAAGGAUAAGAUCUUAGCAGAUUUUCCAGUUUGGAUCAAUUAAAAGGCAUUGCAAAAGGUUAGGAUCUUAGCAGAUUUCCAGUUUGGAUAGUUUGGAUCAAUUUAAAGGUGCUAGACCGAAAUGAUGUCAAAACGGCCACUUAAAAUAUAAAAUAAAUUCUUUAUUUAAGCAUACGAAAUAAAAUAUGUUAACUUUCUAAA